rnacentral:rRNA from 1 species
UACGUAGGGGGCAAGCGUUGUCCGGAUUUAUUGGGCGUAAAGAGCGUGUAGGCGGCCAGGUAGGUCUGCUGUGAAAACUCGAGGCUUAACCUCGAGCUGUCGGCGGAAACCAUCUGGCUAGAGUCCGGAAGAGGAGAAUGGAAUUCCAGGUGUAGCGGUGAAAUGCGUAGAUAUCUGGAGGAACACCGGUGGCGAAGGCGGCAUCCUGGACCAACACUGACGCUGAUGAGCGAAAAGCCCAGGGGGAGCAAACGGG